ACAAGCGGUGGAGUAUGUGGUUUAAUUCGAUGCAACGCGAAGAACCUUACCUGGUCUUGACAUCCCGGAGACCCUUAGGAAACUAGGGGGUGCUUCCAUCUGGAAGAAUCUGGAGACAGGUGCUGCAUGGCUGUCGUCAGCUCGUGCCGUGAGAUGUUGGGUUAAGUCCCGCAACGAGCGCAACCCUUGCCUUUAGUUGCCAGCAGUUCGGCUGGGCACUCUAAAGGGACUGCCGGUGUUAAACCGGAGGAAGGUGGGGAUGACGUCAAGUCCUCAUGGCCUUUAUGACCAGGGCUACACACGUACUACAAUGGCCGAUACAAAGGGCAGCGACACUGCGAGGUGAAGCCAAUCCCGUAAAAUCGGUCUCAGUCCGGAUUGGAGUCUGCAACUCGACUCCAUGAAGUUGGAAUCGCUAGUAAUCGUGGAUCAGCAUGCCACGGUGAAUACGUUCCCGGGCCUU
rnacentral:rRNA from 1 species